rnacentral:rRNA from 1 species
GUUGGGUUAAGUCCCGCAACGAGCGCAACCCUUAUAUUUAGUUGCCAGCACUUCGGGUGGGCACUCUAGAUAGACUGCCGGUGACAAACCGGAGGAAGGUGGGGAUGACGUCAAAUCAUCAUGCCCCUUAUGACCUGGGCUACACACGUACUACAAUGGCCGGUACAACGGGCUGCGAAAUCGCGAGAUGGAGCCAAUCCCAACAAAGCCGGUCUCAGUUCGGAUUGCAGGCUGCAACUCGCCUGCAUGAAGUCGGAAUUGCUAGUAAUCGCGGAUCAGCAUGCCGCGGUGAAUACGUUCCCGGGUCUUGUACACACCGCCCGUCACACCACGAGAGUUUAUAACACCCGAAGUCGGUGGGGUAACCGCAAGGAGCCAGCCGCCGAAGGUGGGAUAGAUGAUUGGGGUGAAGUCGUAACAAGGUAGCCGUAUCGGAAGGUGCGGCUGGAUCACCUCCUUUCUAUGGAGAAUCGUCUUCUGCAAUGAAGACAUUCAAA